UUCACCUAAGAGUUCAUGUAGAGUAAUGUAAUACUAGUUAUUGUGCUUGUAUUGCAUGUAUUUGUUUGCAUAGGUUAGAGGGCAAAUAUUUGGUACACAGUUCUCAAUACAGAAAUGUUAGUAGUUAAUCUUCGAACUUUAUGACAACAAGAGCCUGGAAUUCCCCAAGGGGGGAAAAAAGGUUUUCUAUUUCUGUUAAUGUAUGACAGGUGUUCAGGUGAGUCUUUUAAAUUUCAACAGGGCCAAACUAACCAUGCAUUCAUGUGGUGUCAGACACAUCGAGAAAAAAUAAUUUCUUGGGAAAGAAUAAGGUGCUUGAUUUGUCAACUUGACCUCAUAAACGGCAUAACAUUUGGGAAGGAAAUAUGUUUUAUUAAUGUUAAGAAUUUUUUUUAUUAAUUCACAUAUUGCACAUCAACUUUAGGCUCAAAUAUAACUUGAAACAUCGACAUUCCUCACAUUUUCUUCGAAGCAUCCACCCUGUUUUUUUGUCGUUGUUACAACAUUCAGACUUUACGAACAAAAAUCACGUUAACACACUGAAUCUUUAUGCUAGGCUAAGCUAAUCUUGUCCUGACUCCUGCUCUACAUGAUCCAAAUUGAAAGAAAU